CCCUUAGAUGUCCGGGGCCGCACGCGCGCUACACUGAAGGAAUCAGCGUGGCUUUCUCCCUGACCCGAAAGGGUUGGGAAACCCGUUGAAUCUCCUUCGUGAUAGGGAUUGGGGCUUGAAAUUGUUCCCCAUGAACGAGGAAUUCCCAGUAAGCGCGAGUCAUAAGCUCGCGUUGAUUACGUCCCUGCCCUUUGUACACACCGCCCGUCGCUACCACCGAUUGAACGGUUUAGUGAGGGCCUCGGAUUGGUCUCGGCCCGCUCUUUACCGGGCGGCGCCGUUGGUCGAGAAGACGCUCGAACUUGAUCGUUUAGAGGAAGUAAAAGUCGUAACA
rnacentral:rRNA from 1 species